rnacentral:snRNA from 1 species
AUACUUACCUGGCAGGGGAGAUACCAUGAUCACAAAGGUGAUUUCCCAGGGCAAGGCGUAUCCACUGCACUCUGGAUGUGCUGACCCCUGAAAUUUCCACAAAUGUGGGAAACUCAACUGCAUAAUUUGUGGUAGUGGGGGAAAGAAAGCAA